rnacentral:tRNA from 2 species
GCCCGAGUGGCUCAGUGGUAGAGCAUCUUCUUGGUAAGAAGAAGGCCGUGGGUUCGAUUCCCACCUCGGGCU